AUUGAACGCUGGCGGCAGGCCUAACACAUGCAAGUCGAGCGGCAGCGGGAAAGUAGCUUGCUACUUUUGCCGGCGAGCGGCGGACGGGUGAGUAACGCCUGGGGAUCUGCCCAGUCGAGGGGGAUAACUACUGGAAACGGUAGCUAAUACCGCAUACGCCCUACGGGGGAAAGCAGGGGACCUUCGGGCCUUGCGCGAUUGGAUGAACCCAGGUGGGAUUAGCUAGUUAGUGAGGUAAUGGCUCACCAAGGCGACGAUCCCUAGCUGGUCUGAGAGGAUGAUCAGCCACACUGGAACUGAGACACAGUCCAGACUCCCACGGGAGGCAGCAGUGGGGAAUAUUGCACAAUGGGGGAAACCCUGAUGCAGCCAUGCCGCGUGUGUGAAGAAGGCCUUCGGGUUGUAAAGCACUUUCAGCGAGGAGGAAAGGUUGGUAGCUAAUAACUGCCAGCUGUGACGUUACUCGCAGAAGAAGCACCGGCUAACUCCGUGCCAGCCGCCGCAGUAAAAC
rnacentral:rRNA from 1 species